rnacentral:rRNA from 1 species
GAGUUUGAUUAUGGCUCAGGAUGAACGCUGGCGGCGUGCCUAACACAUGCAAGUCGAGCGAGAAAUCUGAAACUUGAUCUUCGGAAAGAGUAUCGGAAGGAAAGCGGCGGACGGGUGAGUAACGCGUAGGUAACCUGCCCCAUACAGAGGGAUAGCCACUGGAAACGGUGAUUAAUACCUCAUAAAACCGAGAAUUCACAUGAAUAGUCGGUCAAAGAAUAUAUCGGUAUGGGAUGGACCUGCGUCUGAUUAGUUAGUUGGUGAGGUAACGGCUCACCAAGGCGACGAUCAGUAGCCGACCUGAGAGGGUGAUCGGCCACAUUGGAACUGAGACACGGUCCAAACUCCUACGGGAGGCAGCAGUGGGGAAUAUUGCACAAUGGAGGGAACUCUGAUGCAGCAACGCCGCGUGAAUGAAGAAGGCCUUUGGGUCGUAAAAUUCUGUUAUGAGGGAAGAAGAAAGUGACG